rnacentral:lncRNA from 1 species
CACAAACGGGCCCACGUGUCAACGGCUCAUGUCAACCCCGCCACUUAUCCCCUCCCACUGGCUGGCCUCGCGCCCCUCCACAUCACAACGCCCAGCUGCUCCCGCUCCGUUGCCUCGCCGUGGCCGUGGCCGCCGCCUCCCUCCCGCUCCUCCGGCUACCGGAAACCAUGGUCAACUCCUGCCUCUCCACCGCCGCAGCGCACUCUGCGCUGCGCCUCCUGUCCGACGGCGCUGCCGGGGCGCAGCUCCAUCACGCGUCGUCAUCAGUGUUUCCGCGCCCGGCGCGCGCACCGCACCACCGGCUCGUCGCCGCGCCCGCGGUGGCAGUGCCCGGGCACUGGAGGCGCGCGCUCGCGGUCACAGUGAUGGCGUCGCGGGAGGAGGCCGCGGCCACGGCUGUCGAGGAGUUGGAGGAGGUCGCGGAGCGAGAGGAACAGUUACCAGAGCAAGACGAAGUUCAGGAUGGGGAAGGUGGAGCC